GGGAGCACCAAGGAGCGUAGACUGACCCAUGGCAGCGAUGGCGCUAGUGGUGGUGAGGCAGAUCAACACACGUGGUAGGACAGCUUCAAUACCCACUCUACAUGAUGAUUGCUAUCAGUUAGGAGGAAGGGCAACAGGGUGAAGAACACAGGAGGAAUCUCUGCUCUGUGUCAUGCCUCAUUUGCACAGUGUCACAAUAUCCCAUUUGCCAAACUGAACCAGGGAGGCAGUAUGGGCACUAACAUUGCUACGGUGUCCUGAACUUAGAGAGAGAGGCAGGAAGGGGAAAGAAAACUCUAGUUAGUUUAAAAAAUUACCAUGUGUGUGUACAUCACCAGUCAACAACUAGUCAAGAAUUAUAGUGUAAAUUGACCGAAUUAUACAUGCUAAAAAAUUAACCAAAUUUACCACACACAAAAAUCAGAAAUUCUUUAAAAAAGGAGCUAAUGUUUCGUGUCCAACGACCCUUCCUCAGAACUGGAAUGGAUGAUGGACCCUAGGACCCAGCGGAGCCACAGCUGUGGGAGAAACCGCAGCCGGCAGUUUCAAGAGGUAUUAGUUACCUGGGCAAGAGCAUGACAGAAAGCAAGAGAAGUCUGGAUUAAAGUGCUUUCAUUUCAAUGCAAUAGGUCUGACAGCCAGGUCGCAGCCUCGUGGAUCCAGAGCCUCAGGGGUCGCAGCGGUCUUCGCGGCUGCCAAAAUCCACUGACCCCUGGGGACAAGCAGGAGCCCUACAAGGGCCGCGGCGCAGGUACCGGAGCUCUUACUGGGCCAUCAGGUAGAGGAGAGGAAGGUGCUUCCCUCACAUUCCCAGGUUUUACCAGAUGAGGAAGGACACCACUUUGAUUGGACAACACAUCCAUCCUAGGACAAGCCAAACAGAGACACGCACGAGAAUUCCUAGAAGCAUGGCAUUCCAACCGGAACUCCAUCAACAAACACAUUGAUUUGGAGCCAAUCUACCAUCCCCUGAGAAAAAGAACAGGAAAUGACAUCACCAACGCAGGAAAUGACAUCACCAACCCAAGGAAACCUCACCGGAUAAAAUAGAAAGCGGGACAUAACACCAGCGCUUCAUCGGAGGCUCGCUGAUGAUGUUACCUAGAAUGGUGACGAAACGUCUGAAAACUAACCUUCCAGCUCAGCGAGCAAACUUACAUCCAGAACUUGUGUCCAUUUUCAAUCCAGUCCCAUUUUUCCUUUUGGGAACACUCACUCUGCGUUGUUUGCAGAUCAUGAUUUGUUGUCCCAGUGUCGAGGUGGCAGGCAUGUACUUGAGGCUCUUGGCAGGACUGAUUGGAAGCAGCUCUUUUGGCUGCCUGAUCUGCCAGGGCAUUGCCCUCAGCUUCCACGGUGCUGUUUUUGGUAUGUGCUUUACAUUUUAAUAUGGCCACUUUCCUGGGUAGCUGGAGAGCUUCCAGCAGGCCCUUGACUUCAGGUCUGUUCCUGAUGGGGACCCUGCAGCAUUUAGGCGUGUGCGCUGCUUCCAUCGCUGGCCAAAGUUGAGGGCAACUCCAAAAGCAUAGCGGGGGUCUGUGUAGAUGUCAGCAGAUUGAAGCCUGCAAAGUAGCACAGGAUCAGAUAAGGCCCGUAACUCUGUUUACUGCGCUGCGGGGUAGGUUACCCAAUGCUAUGACAGUGUGGAGUGUUGAAACAGCCCAUCCAGCUUUCCUUAUACCCUUCUCCACAAACAAAGAUCAGUGUAAAGGACGAGAUCUGGGUUUUGUAGAGUUUCAUCCAUCAUUUGGCUACUGUCUUCCGAUUCCUGCGUGAUGGCAUUGCGGUCAGGGCCAUUUUCCUCUUCUCAUGUCAGUAAAGACGUGAGUGUGGCUGGGUUGACUGGACUUGCAUGAAUUACGUGUAGAUUCAGGCUUCCAGGACAGCUGUUGACUGGUUCCACUGAGCAGGAUUCACUUGUCAUACUCUGUUCAGAGAUAGCAAAGUGUGCACAGCAUGUGGACAUUUAGCCGUUAAUUUCUGCUCCAAUCCCAGACUUGCGGCAACUUCUACUGCCAUACACGUAGCUUGUACUGCUCCGAAAACACCUCCCCCGUCCAAGGGCUACAUUGUCCAAAUUCCCAGAGUAGUAUUCAACUGUGUUCCCCCAUGUCCCUGGGCCAAUACUGCUGUCAUAUAUCCCUUCUUCUCAUGCACAACCAUGAAGGAUUUUCCCUUAUUCGGCAUCCCUAAUGCUUGUACCAAACAGAGCGCUUUUUUCAGGUCAUGGAAGGCUUCUUCCUGUUCCCUUGUUAUUGCUGUCUGUUUGAGUCUUGUUUUCCCUUCAGGAUGCCUGUUAGGGGCUGAGCUAGUUGGGUGUGUGAGUCAACCAGCACCGUUUGAAAUUACAUAGACCAUCAAAGGCUCUCAACUGUGGAAUAGUUGUGGGUUGUUCAGCAGCUUGUGUGGCUAAGAGUUCAAUUCUAGGUGAUCUCCCUCUUCCUGUGGGAGAUUUUCUGCCCCAGGUAAACCACCGCUUUCGGGGCAAUCUGGGCCUUGUCAAUACCAACUUUGUGGCCUUUCUGCUGCAGGUGAUUUAGGAGAACUUUAAGAUCUAAGAUCUGUCUUGUGUUGCCUUUCUGUUUCAGAAGCUGCCAGUAUAUCAUCCAUAUACUGCAUGAUGACUCAUUCGGUUGGUAGCGUUUGACAGCAGUGAUUCUGUGAAGCCAUGUGAUACACAGUUGGGCUGUUGUGGAAUCCCUGUGGAGAUGGGUCCAUAUCUAUUGUUGUUGCUAAAGAGUAAAGGCAAACCAUGACUGUUCUUCAGGUGCUCUGGGCAUUGACCAGAAGCUGUUACAGCCAUAUCUAUAACUGAAAACCACUUGCAUUCUGGUGUAAAGACACUAAAUAAUGUGGAUGGGUCAGCUACCAGUGGGGCCUUUUGAUCAAAGCACUGGUUAACUUUUCCAUAGCCCACAGUCAGUCUUCAUUCCCCACAGGCUAUACUGGGCUGUUAGAGGUGCUGUGUACUUUUACAAGGACUCUCCUCUGUAUUGUUUCUUCCACUUUCUUUGAAUUAUUGAGGGGUUUCCUGUGAGUGACAUCGUGCUGGUGGGAUAGAACAAAGAACAAAGAAACCUACAACACAGGAACAGGCCCUUCGGCCCUCCAAGCCUGCGCCGAUCAAGAUCCUCUGUCUCACCUGUCAUCUAUUUUCUAAGGGUCUGUGUCCACUUGCUCCCUGCCCAUCCAUGUACCUGUCCAAAUAUAUCUUAAAAGACGCUAACAUGUCUGCGUCUACCACCUCCGCUGGCAGCGCGUUCCAGGCGCCCACCAUCCUCAGUGUAAAGAACUUUCCAUGCCUAUCUCCCUUAAACUUUCCUCCUCUCACUUUGAACUCAUGACCCCUAGUAAUUGAGUCCCCCACUCUGGGAAAAAGCUUCUUGCUAUCCACCCUGUCUAUACCCCUCAUGAUUUUGUAGACCUCAAUCAGGUCCCCCCUCAAUCUCCGUCUUUCUAAUGAAAAUAAUCCUAAUCUGUUCAACCUCACUUCACAGCUAGCACCCUCCAUACCAGGCAACAUCCUGGUGAACCUCCUCUGCGCCCUCUCCAAAGCAUCCACAUCCUUUUGGUAGUGUGGCGACCAGAACUGUACACAGUACUCUACAUGUGGCCGAACUGAAGUCCUAUACAACUGCAAUAUAUACUGUUUGGUGCAAGGCAGGGGAUAUCCCUGUAAAGCUGGCACGUUCCACUUCUCGUAACUCACAAUCAAUCUUGUCUUUAGCCAAGAUGGGGCGGUCUUUUAAUUCUUCCCUGUGGAGGGAUCUGAUGGAAGAAUGAGGCGGCCUAUCAUUGAAAUGUAGGAAUGGAUGUAAUCGAUGAAGGAUAUCCAUGUGGAACAGUGGCUGGGCUAAAGUCCCUCCCCAUACGCAGGUUAUCAAUUCUUGGGGGGAAAAUGUGGUGUUUAAAGACUUGGGUUGUUUUAAAAAUUCAACCCUGUCAGCUCCUGCUCCUUCAGCUGCCUUUACUGCCCUGUCUAGUGGGAGCUUGGCUUCAUAUUUCCUGGGUAGGCAUGUCU